rnacentral:rRNA from 1 species
UACAGAGGUCUCAAGCGUUGUUCGGAUUCAUUGGGCGUAAAGGGUGCGUAGGCGGCUCGGUAAGUCGGGUGUGAAAUCUCGGAGCUUAACUCCGAAACUGCAUUCGAUACUGCCGUGCUUGAGGACUGGAGAGGAGACUGGAAUUUACGGUGUAGCGGUGAAAUGCGUAGAUAUCGUAAGGAGGACCAGUGGCGAAGGCGGGUCUCUGGACAGUGCCUGACGCUGAGGCACGAAGGCCAGGGGAGCAAACGGG